rnacentral:rRNA from 1 species
GACGAAUGCUGGCGGCGUGCUUAACACAUGCAAGUCGAACGGAAAGGCCCUGCUUGCAGGGUACUCGAGUGGCGAACGGGUGAGUAACACGUGGGUGAUCUGCCCUGCACUUCGGGAUAAGCCUGGGAAACUGGGUCUAAUACCGGAUAGGAGCCAUUUUUAGUGUGAUGGUUGGAAAGUAUUUUCGGUGUAGGAUGAGCUCGCGGCCUAUCAGCUUGUUGGUGGGGUAAUGGCCUACCAAGGCGGCGACGGGUAGCCGGCCUGAGAGGGUGGACGGCCACAUUGGGACUGGGAUACGGCCCAGACCACUACGGGAGGCAGCAGUGGGGAAUAUUGCACAAUGGGCGCAAGCCUGAUGCAGCGACGCCGCGUGGUGGAUGACGGCCUUCGGGUUGUAAACUCCUUUCGCUAGGGACGAAGCUUUUGUGACGGUACCUAGAUAAGAAGCACCGGCUAACUACGUG